rnacentral:rRNA from 1 species
AACGAACGCUGGCGGCAUGCCUAAUACAUGCAAGUCGAACGAGAUCUUCGGGUCUAGUGGCGCACGGGUGCGUAACGCGUGGGAAUCUGCCCUUUGGUUCGGAAUAACAGUUGGAAACGACUGCUAAUACCGGAUGAUGACGAAAGUCCAAAGAUUUAUCGCCAGAGGAUGAGCCCGCGUAGGAUUAGCUAGUUGGUGUGGUAAAGGCGCACCAAGGCGACGAUCCUUAGCUGGUCUGAGAGGAUGAUCAGCCACACUGGGACUGAGACACGGCCCAGACUCCUACGGGAGGCAGCAGUGGGGAAUAUUGGACAAUGGGCGAAAGCUUGAUCCAGCAAUGCCGCGUGAGUGAUGAAGGCCUUAGGGUUGUAAAGCUCUUUUACCCGGGAUGAUAAUGACAGUACCGGGAGAAUAAGCUCCGGCUAACUCCGUGCCAGCAGCCGCAGUAA